AAAUCCCACGGCUCAACCGUGGGGCUUGUUGGGGAUACUGCGGGCCUUGGGACCGGGAGAGGCGGGGGGUACCCCUGGGGUAGGGGUGAAAUCCUGUAAUCCCAGGGGGACCGCCAGUGGCGAAGGCGCCCCGCUGGAACGGGUCCGACGGUGAGGGACGAAGGCCAGGGGAGCGAACCGGAUUAGAUACCCGGGUAGUCCUGGCUGUAAAGGAUGCGGGCUAGGUGUCGGGCGAGCUCCGAGCUCGCCCGGUGCCGUAGGGAAGCCGUUAAGCCCGCCGCCUGGGGAGUACGGCCGCAAGGCUGAAACUUAAAGGAAUUGGCGGGGGAGCACUACAAGGGGUGGAGCGUGCGGUUUAAUUGGAUUCAACGCCGGGAACCUCACCGGGGGCGACGGCAGGAUGAAGGCCAGGCUGAAGGUCUUGCCGGACACGCCGAGAGGAGGUGCAUGGCCGCCGUCAGCUCGUACCGUGAGGCGUCCACUUAAGUGUGGUAACGAGCGAGACCCGCGCCCCCAGUUGCCAGUCCCUCCCGUUGGGAGGGAGGCACUCUGGGGGGACCGCCGGCGAUAAGCCGGAGGAAGGAGCGGGCGACGGUAGGUCAGUAUGCCCCGAAACCCCCGGGCUACACGCGCGCUACAAUGGGCGGGACAAUGGGAUCCGACCCCGAAAGGGGAAGGAAAUCCCCUAAACCCGCCCUCAGUUCGGAUCGCGGGCUGCAACUCGCCCGCGUGAAGCUGGAAUCCCUAGUACCCGCGUGUCAUCAUCGCGCGGCGAAUACGUCCCUGCUCCUUGCACACACCGCCCGUCACUCCACCCGAGCGGGGUCCGGGUGAGGCUCGGUCUCCCUUCGGGGAGGCCGGGUCGAGCCCGGGCUCCGUGAGGGGGGAGAAGUCGUAACAAGGUAGCCGUAGGGGAACCUACGGCUCGAUCACCUCCU
rnacentral:rRNA from 1 species